AUUGAACGCUGGCGGCAGGCCUAACACAUGCAAGUCGGACGAGCGGCGGACGGGUGAGUAAUGUAUGGGGAUCUGCCUGAUGGAGGGGGAUAACUACUGGAAACGGUAGCUAAUACCGCAUACCAUCAGAUGAACCCAUAUGGGAUUAGCUUGUAGGAGGGGUAAAGGCACACCUAGGCGACGAUCCCUAGAUGGUCUGAGAGGAGGAUCAGCCACACUGGGCCUGAGACACGGUCCAGACUCAUCCGGGAGGCAGCAGUGGUGAAUAUGGCACAAUGGGCGUAAGCCUGAUGCAGCCAUGCCGCGUUUAUGAAGAAGGCCUUCGGGUUGUAAAGUACUUUCAGUCGGGAGGCGUUACCGACAGAAGAAGCACCGGCUAACUCCGUGCCAGCAGCCGCGGUAAUAC
rnacentral:rRNA from 1 species